rnacentral:rRNA from 1 species
UACGUAGGGGGCAAGCGUUGUCCGGAUUCAUUGGGCGUAAAGAGCGUGUAGGCGGCCAGGUAGGUCGGGUGUGAAAUCUCGGAGCUUAACUCCGAAACUGCAUUCGAUACUGCCGUGCUUGAGGACUGGAGAGGAGACUGGAAUUUACGGUGUAGCGGUGAAAUGCGUAGAUAUCGUAAGGAAGACCAGUGGCGAAGGCGGGUCUCUGGAACGCAACUGACGCUGAGACGCGAAAGCGUGGGGAGCAAACAGG